ACACUUUCAACAAUGGAUCUCUGGGCUCUUGCUUCGAUGAAGAACGCAGCGAAAUGCGAUAGCUAAUGUGACUUGCACACGCGGAUCAUUGAGACUUUGAACGCACAAUGCGCAGGGAGGGCAACCUUUCUGGAUUGCUGUUUGGGCGGUGGAG
rnacentral:rRNA from 1 species